rnacentral:rRNA from 1 species
GAUGAACGCUAGCGGCAGGCCUAACACAUGCAAGUCGAGGGGUAACAUAAGAGAGCUUGCUCUUUUGAUGACGACCGGCGCACGGGUGCGCACCGCGUAUGAAACCUACCUUUUACAGGGGAAUAGCCCAGGGAAACUUGGAUUAAUGCCCCGUAGUACCUUUAGUAGCAUUGCUAGAUGGUUAAAGACUUCGGUUGGUAGAAGAUGGUCAUGCGUCCCAUUAGUUAGAUGGUAAGGUAACGGCUUACCAUGACUACGAUGGGUAGGGGCCCUGAGAGGGGGAUCCCCCACACUGGUACUGAGACACGGACCAG